AGGGUAUGACUUUACUACCGAUUCUCCCCUUGUUUCCUGAUGCAAAUGGAAUCAUGGUGUACAGUGGUACCUUGGUUCUCAAACUUAAUCCAUUCCAGAAGUCCGUUCCAAAACCAAGGUGCGCUUUCCCAAGAAAGUGAUGCAAAACAGAUUAAUCCAUUCCAAGCUUUUUUUAAAAAAAACCCCUAAAACAGCAAUUCAACAUGAAUUUUACUAUCUAACGAGACCAUUGACCCAUAAAAUGAAAGCAAUCAUCAAUGUACUGUAAUAUAAAAUAAAUAAGGCAGUAUUGUAGAUGAUAAAAAUUAAAACUCUUUUUUUUUCUUACCUGCGCUGAUGAUAGUCAUUGUUUGGAUGGGGGGCUUUUAUCCAUUUCCGCAGUCACACAAUCAAUCAAUCAAUCAAUCAAUCAGUAGCUGAACUGGGUUGCACACAGUCACAAAAACAAAUUAACCGAAAAAGCCUCAAAAACUAAAACGCUAAAUCAACAGCAAAAACAAAGCGCUAAACUUAAUCCGUUCUGGAAGUCCGUUUGAUUUUUGAAAUGUUCGAAAACCAAGGCACAGCUUCUGAUUGGUGCAGGCGCCCUGGGAACAAUAGCCAACAGCCGCAUCGGAUGUUUGGCUUUCGAAAAACGUUCAAAAACCGGAACACUUACUUCAGAGUUUUUGGUGUUUGGGAACCAAGGCAUUUGAGAACCAAGGUACCGCUGUAUAAGCCAGGCAUCCCCAAACUUGGCCCUCCAGCUGUUUUGGGACUACAAUCCCCAUCAUCCCUGACUACUGGUCCUGAUAGCUAGGGAUGAUGGGAGUUGUAGUCCCAAAACAGCUGGAGGGCUGAGUUUGGGGGUGGCUGGUAUAAGCCAACAAAGUUUUCUUGUUGGCAUCUGUCUGUCUCUAGGGGCUACAGAGUGCGUCUUCAGGGGUGAAGCCAAACUGCUGCGUUCGCAGCACCGAAGUGGCAUCCAUUGGGCACAAUCCUGGGCAGUGUGUCUGGGGGUCCUGGGCUACCCCGACAUUGAGACCCCCCUCUUGGCUGAUGUGGCCCAAAGGAAAGCAGAGCAAAAUGUUUGGCACCAGCUUGGCUGCAGUUGGCGGAAGGAGGCGUACAAGGCGCCAUCCAACUGCCUUAGGGACUGCGCUCCUAGUAUUGAACCAGGAAAUAUUUGGACAAUGGAGAAUAUUUAAGGAUUAUAUAAGAUCACAUUAUACCAAUCACACCAUAUUAGGUGAACUUGAGUGAUACUUGUAAGCACGACAAAUACCGUUUGCGGAGUAGACGGGAACAAUAUUGAAGAAUAUAAAACUGUGCGGCAAAAACGACAGUAUAAACAGUACAGUGAGAAUGAUUGGAAGACUCGUUUUGUUGAAAGUCUU